rnacentral:misc_RNA from 1 species
GAUGAAGAACGUAGCGAAAUGCGAUACGUAGUGUGAAUUGCAGAAUUCCGUGAACCAUCAAAUCUUUGAACGCAUAUUGCGCUCGAGGCUUCGGCCGAGAGCAUGUCUGCCUCAGCGUCGGUAUUACCCCUCGCUUCUCAACCCCUGGUUGAUGCCUGCCUGCCUUUGCAGUUGGCUAGAAGCGGAUCUGGCUUUCCCAAUUGCCUUUGGUAGUUGGGUCAGCUGAAGCACAGAGGCUUGAGCAAGGACCCUUAUUGGGCUUCAACUGGAUAGGUAGAACUGGUCUUAGGACCAACUACACGAAGUUGUUGCUUGUGGUCUUUGUCUGGAGGCCAGCAGGAAAACUUUAUACCUUCGACCUGAGCUCAGGCAAGAUUACCCGCUGAACUUAAGCAUAUCAAUAAGCGGAGGA